rnacentral:rRNA from 1 species
AUUGAACGCUGGCGGCAGGCCUAACACAUGCAAGUCGAGCGGAUGACGGGAGCUUGCUCCUUGAUUCAGCGGCGGACGGGUGAGUAAUGCCCAGGAAUCUGCCUGGUAGUGGGGGACAACGUUUCGAAAGGAACGCUAAUACCGCAUACGUCCUACGGGAGAAAGCAGGGGACCUUCGGGCCUUGCGCUAUCAGAUGAGCCUAGGUCGGAUUAGCUAGUUGGUGGGGUAAUGGCUCACCAAGGCGACGAUCCGUAACUGGUCUGAGAGGAUGAUCAGUAACACUGGAACUGAGAACCGGUCCAGACUCCUACGGGAGGCAGCAGUGGGGAAUAUUGGACAAUGGGCGAAAGCCUGAUCCAGCCAUGCCGCGUGUGUGAAGAAGGUCUUCGGAUUGUAAAGCACUUUAAGUUGGGAGGAAGGGCAGUAAGUUAAUACCUUGCUGUUUUGACGUUACCGACAGAAUAAGCACCGGCUAACUCUGUGCCAGCCGCCGCCGUAA